rnacentral:rRNA from 1 species
ACUGCUCAGUAACACGUGGACAACCUGCCCUUAGGACGGGGAUAAACCCGGGAAACUGGGUAUAAUACCCGAUAGGUCUCGAUUGCUGGAAUGCAUCGAGAUUUAAAGCUCCGGCGCCUAAGGAUGGGUCUGCGGCCUAUCAGGUAGUAGUGGGUGUAGUGUACCUACUAGCCUACGACGGGUACGGGUUGUGAGAGCAAGAGCCCGGAGAUGGAUUCUGAGACACGAAUCCAGGCCCUACGGGGUGCAGCAGGCGCGAAAACUUUACAAUGCUGGCAACAGCGAUAAGGGAACCUCGAGUGCCAGGUUAUAAAUCUGGCUGUCGAGAUGCCUAAAAAGCAUUUCAUAGCAAGGGCCGGGCAAGACCGGUGCCAGCCGCCGCGGUAACACCGGCGGCUCGAGUGGUAACCGUUAUUAUUGGGUCUAAAGGGUCUGUAGCCGGCCGGAUAAGUCUCUUGAGAAAUCUGGCAGCUUAACUGUCAGGCUUUCAGGAGAUACUGUCUGGCUCGAGGCCGGGAGAGGUGAGAGGUACUUCAGGGGUAGGGGUGAAAUCUUGUAAUCCUUGAAGGACCACCAGUGGCGAAGGCGUCUCACCAGAACGGACCUGACGGCAAGGGACGAAAGCUAGGGGCACGAACCGGAUUAGAUACCCGGGUAGUCCUAGCCGUAAACGAUACUCGCUAGGUGUCGGCCACGGUGCGACCGUUGUCGGUGCCGUAGGGAAGCCGUGAAGCGAGGCACCUGGGAAGUACGGCCGCAAGGCUGAAACUUAAAGGAAUUGGCGGGGGAGCAC